GAUGAACAUCUUUUUAUUUAAGAAGGAAGUAGCAAAAACACGGCCGGAAGUGGAGGAUAAUUCCGUAAUUUUGAAUGAUGCUUUGAAUGAAUGUGAAUGGACCUCGUUUCGUCGGGUUUGCAGUGAAAUGGGGAUCAGGAAUUGCCGCAUAGCACCCCAAAUCUUCGAAUUCACCGGGUUGGCCUAGGUCGCCGGUUCGAAUUGUCCAGUCAAAUUUACAUUGGAAAAUACGGGACUACAGAAAACCUUUGAGUUAUCUGGGAUUUCGAAUUAACGAGGUUUUAACGUACAUUUCUUUGUGAACGUUGGGUUAACUAUUUCGGCACUGGUGCUAUGUAUUGACAAAAUGCAUUUUGUUUCACUGUGUUUCACAGGCGCAAAUGGCGAGAAGGUUAAUUACAUGUGGCUGCUUGUGAAUGCACCUAAAAUUGCACGCCGCGCAACAGAGAGCAGUUGCCGAAGCGGAGCAGUAUCUUCACAGGUAGUGGUGAAUUCAGCUGGUCAUGGCCUCCGAAAUCUUGCGGUGCGCAAGCUACCCGAUUUGUCUCCACCAGCGUGCUGGAGGCUACACAGCGCAAAAACCAAGAAGGCAAAGCCACGCCCAAAAGCUGAGUGUCGUGGCACCAAAAGGGCUUGUCAUGGUACCCCAUGGUGGCUGCGAUGGAUUACGAUACGCAGCACGCAUCUUCUAUCUCGGAGGCCAAGCGCAGCAGACACAGCUAUGCACAAUUGCGGUGUGUAGGCUAGCAGCCCAAAGAUAAAAUGAUUUUUAUGUCUUUUUGAGAUUGCAAACAUGUAGCAUAUAUGCUCCAUGUAUUUAAUAAAGAUUAGCAACUAUG